rnacentral:rRNA from 1 species
UGGGGAAUAUUGCACAAUGGGCGGAAGCCUGAUGCAGCAACGCCGCGUGCGGGAUGACGGCCUUCGGGUUGUAAACCGCUUUCGCCUGUGACGAAGCGUGAGUGACGGUAAUGGGUAAAGAAGCACCGGCUAACUACGUGCCAG